rnacentral:rRNA from 1 species
GAUGAACGCUGGCGGCGUGCCUAAUACAUGCAAGUCGAGCGAACAGACGAGGAGCUUGCUCCUCUGACGUUAGCGGCGGACGGGUGAGUAACACGUGGAUAACCUACCUAUAAGACUGGGAUAACUUCGGGAAACCGGAGAUAAUACCGGAUAAUAUAUUGAACCGCAUGGUUCAAUAGUGAAAGACGGUUUUGCUGUCACUUAUAGAUGGAUCCGCGCCGCAUUAGCUAGUUGGUAAGGUAACGGCUUACCAAGGCAACGAUGCGUAGCCGACCUGAGAGGGUGAUCAGUCACACUGGAACUGAGACACGGUCCAGACUCCUACGGGAGGCAGCAGUAGGGAAUCUUCCGCAAUGGGCGAAAGCCUGACGGAGCAACGCCGCGUGAGUGAUGAAGGUCUUCGGAUCGUAAAACUCUGUUAUUAGGGAAGAACAAAUGUGUAAGUAACUAUGCACGUCUUGACGGUACCUAAUCAGAAAGCCACGGCUAACUACGUG